GGAUCCAGACUUUGAUUAUGGCUCAGGACGAACGCUGGCGGCGCGCCUAACACAUGCAAGUCGAACGGAGAUUACAGGCGGAAGUUUUCGGAUGGAAGCUUGUAAACUUAGUGGCGGACGGGUGAGUAACACGUGAGCAACCUGCCUAUCAGAGGGGGAUAACGAUUGGAAACGAUCGCUAAUACCGCAUGACAUAGCGAAACCGCAUGGUUUUGCUAUCAAAGAUUUUAUCGCUGAUAGAUGGGCUCGCGUCCGAUUAGAUAGUUGGUGGGGUAACGGCCUACCAAGUCGACGAUCGGUAGCCGGACUGAGAGGUCGAACGGCCACAUUGGGACUGAGACACGGCCCAGACUCCUACGGGAGGCAGCAGUGGGGGAUAUUGCACAAUGGGGGAAACCCUGAUGCAGCGACGCCGCGUGAGGGAAGACGGUCCUCUGGAUUGUAAACCUCUGUCUUCGGGGACGAAACGAGACGGUACCCGAGGAGGAAGCCACGGCUAACUACGUGCCAGCAGCCGCGGUAAUACGUAGGUGGCAAGCGUUGUCCGGAAUUACUGGGUGUAAAGGGAGCGUAGGCGGGCAGGCAAGUCAGGCGUGAAAUAUAUCGGCUCAACCGGUAACGGCGCUUGAAACUGCAGGUCUUGAGUGAAGUAGAGGUUGGCGGAAUUCCUAGUGUAGCGGUGAAAUGCGUAGAUAUUAGGAGGAACACCAGUGGCGAAGGCGGCCAACUGGGCUUUUACUGACGCUGAGGCUCGAAAGUGUGGGGAGCAAACAGGAUUAGAUACCCUGGUAGUCCACACCGUAAACGAUGAUUACUAGGUGUGGGGGGACUGACCCCUUCCGUGCCGGAGUUAACACAAUAAGUAAUCCACCUGGGGAGUACGGCCGCAAGGUUGCAA
rnacentral:rRNA from 1 species